rnacentral:lncRNA from 1 species
GCGUUAGGGUUAAAAUCACUGUCCAAAACCUUUGUAGGAACUCUUUUCCAACCUUUUGGAGUUAGUUAGACCAAAAAAUAUGAAAAAAGAAAAAAAUAUUAUUGGGGGUUUUCGGGCUCCCUGAAAGUAAUACCCGUGUAUUAGGUUUUGGGACUAGGGAAAGGUUUAAGGUUUUUGGCGUUAGGGUUAAAAUCACUGUCCAAAACCUUUGUAGGAACUCUUUUCCAACCUUUUGGAGUUAGUUAGACCAAAAAAAAAAAAAAGAAAAAUGAAAAAAAAAUAUUUGGGGUGUUCAGGCUUCCUAAAAGUAAUACCCGGGUAUUAGGUUAUGGGGCUAGGGUAAGGUUUAAGGUUUUUGGCGUUAGGGUUAAAAUCACUGUCCAAAACCUUUGUAGGAACUCUUUUCCAACCUUUUGGAGUUAGUUAGACCAAAAAAAAAUGAAAAAUGAAAAAAAAAUAUUUGGGGUUUUCGGGCUUCCUGAAUGUAAUACCCGGGUAUUAGAUUUUAAGGCUAGGGUAAGGUUUAAGUUUUUUGGCGUUAGGGUUAAAAUCACUGUCCAAAACCUUUGUAGGAACUCUUUUCCAACCUUUUGGAGUUAGUUAGACCAAAAAAAAAAAAAUGAAAAAUGAAAAAAAUAUAUUUGGGGUGUUCAGGCUUCCUAAAAGUAAUACCCGGGUAUUAGAUUUUAAGGCUAGGGAAAGGUUUAAGUUUUUUGGCGUUAGGGUUAAAAUCACUGUCCAAAACCUUUGUAGGAACUCUUUUCCAACCUUUUGGAGUUAGUUAGACCAAAAAAUAUGAAAAAAGAAAAAAAUAUUUUGGGGGUUUUCGGGCUCCUGAAGGUAAUACCCAGGUAUUAGGUUUUGGGACUGGGGAAAGGUUUAAGGUUUUUGGCGUUAGGGUUAAAAUCACUGUCCAAAACCUUUGUAGGAACUCUUUUCCAACCUUUUGGAGUUAGUUUGACCAAAAAAAAAAGAAAAAUGAAAAAAAAAAUAUUUGGGGUGUUCAGGCUUCCUAAAAGUAAUACCCGGGUAUUAGGUUUUGGGGCUAUGGUAAGGUUUAAGUUUUUUGGCGUUAGGGUUAAAAUCACUGUCCAAAACCUUUGUAGGAACUCUUUUCCAACCUUUUGGAGUUAGUUAGACCAAAAAAAAAUGAAAAAUUAAAAAACAAUAUUUGGGGUUUUCGGGGUUCCUGAAUGUAAUACCCGGGUAUUAGAUUUUGAGGCUAGGGUAAGGUUUAAGUUUUUUGGCGUUAGGGUUAAAAUCACUGUCCAAAACCUUUGUAGGAACUCUUUUCCAACCUUUUGGAGUUAGUUAGACCAAAAAAAAUGUAAAAUGAAGAAAAAAAUAUUUGGGGUGUUCAGGCUUCCUGAAGGUAAUACCCGGGUAUUAGAUUUCAAGGCUAGGGUAAGGUUUAAGGUUUUUGGCGUUAGGGUUAAAAUCACUGUCCAAAACCUUUGUAGGAACUCUUUUCCAACCUUUUGGAGUUAGUUAGACCAAAAAAAAUGAAAAAAGAAAAAAAUAUUAUUGGGGGUUUUCGGGCUCCCUGAAAGUAAUACCCGUGUAUUAGGUUUUGGGACUAGGGAAAGGUUUAAGGGUUUUGGCGUUAGGGUUAAAAUCACUGUCCAAAACCUUUGUAGGAACUCUUUUCCAACCUUUUGGAGUUAGUUAGACCAAAAAAAAAAAGAAAAAUGAAAAAAAAAUAUUUGGGGUGUUCAGGCUUCCUAAAAGUAAUACCCGGGUAUUAGGUUAUGGGGCUAUGGUAAGGUUUAAGUUUUUUGGCGUUAGGGUUAAAAUCACUGUCCAAAACCUUUGUAGGAACUCUUUUCCAACCUUUUGGAUUUAGUUAGACCAAAAAAUAAAGAAAAAUGAAAAAAAAAUAUAUGGGGUGUUCAGGCUUCCUAAAAGUAAUACCUGGGUAUUAGGUUAUGGGGCUAUGGUAAGGUUUAAGGUUUUUGGCGUUAGGGUUAAAAUCACUGUCCAAAACCUUUGUAGGAACUCUUUUUCAACCUUUUGGAGUUAGUUAGACCAAAAAAAAAUGAAAAAUGAAAAAAAAUAUAUUUGGGGUGUUCAGGCUUCCUAAAAGUAAUACCCGGGUAUUAGGUUAUGGGGCUAUGGUAAGGUUUAAGGUUUUUGGCGUUAGGGUUAAAAUCACUGUCCAAAACCUUUGUAGGAACUCUUUUCCAACCUUUUGGAGUUAGUUAGACAAAAAAAAAAAUUAAAAAUGAAAAAAAAUAUAUUUGGGGUUUACGGGCUUCCUGAAUGUAAUACCCGGGUAUUAGAUUUU